CGACCUAUAUAAGUAGGUAAUUUAUAUAACAUCAUAGCAGGUACAGCACUGUGUCUUGUACAACUUGCAUUAAAAAAAAGUGCUCUUUGUUCAUGUUUGGGGGUCGUGAAGAUCUUACUUGCAAGUAAUUGUACUCGGAAGGGUUAUGAUGACUAUAUAAUAAUCAGACAUAGUACGCUAAGGUAGUAUGUCUAAAGGGAAACAGCCCAGAACAAGAGUUAAUAAGGUUCCAAAAUUAUUGUUAAGUGAAAAUAAGGAAGUUUCAAUCCAAUAUGGCCAGGAGAUAGGCUUAGACGCGGCCAUUUUUUAAAGACCUCGUAAAAGAGCACUGGUUUAGUAAAUUAUUUAUAUAAUUUAUAUUGAUAAAAGUACCAAAAAUUUAACGGAUCUAAACAAUAUACCGAGACCUUGUCCAUAUUUAUAUAUAUAUCUAAGUUGUAUAUUGUAUUUAUGGGGUAGCGGAACAUUGGGCAAAUCUAAGAUUUUUUCUUUAGAAGACUUAAGAUAAGAUAACCCAAGUGAUAAUGCUGACAUGAGUAACGAUAAAGGGAAUGAACUAUUCCCUCGCCUAAAACUUAUGGUAUUUACUUAAAGUAACGGCCUCUAAGUUUAUGAACCUAAAGGACUAAACGAUGAGAAAAUCUACCACCUUUUUUUCUGGUUUUUUCUCUUUUUUUUUCCAUGAAAAAAACAAGAGAAAAAAAUAGAAAAAAAAACAAAUAACCUUUGUGCAUAGACUUAUAUAACUGUAGGUUUUGUGCUAAAUUUUGUGACAAGGGUUCUGGAAAAUUUAAGUGGUGCAUCAUAGAUAAUGGGGAGGACGCAAUCUCCUGCCUACUAUGGUGUAAAAACACCGUACCUAGAAACUACCGCCAGUAAGUUAGUAGAGAAUACGAGCGUUUGAGUGACAUCAUAAUGACCG
rnacentral:rRNA from 1 species